rnacentral:lncRNA from 1 species
GUAUACUUAAAGCUAAAAGCAAUCAAAUAUAUGUUGACAUAACCUUUGUUAUGAUAAUCAUACAAACCAGUCACCAAUGCCCUAAUAGUAUGUAUUUAAUUUUAGAAUGCAUCAGUUUAUUUUAUCUCAAGUCUCUGGGACUUGAGAAUGGAAAUGGGUUUUCACACUAGGAUAAUUUGUCUUCCUGGCAACAGUUCAAUUGAGUGUUUUUUGGUUUUUGGUUUUUUGCUUUCUUUUGGAUUGUCCCAGGAGUUUGCAGUUUAUUUUGGGAAGGCAUUAGAUAUUUUCCUUGGAAAUGCCACCAGAUGCCAAGCAACAUGUAGAUUAUUAAAGGUUACCAACAUUCUUCUACCUUUUGACUAAUUAAAAACAUUUAACUGAGAGCUGCCAUAAAAUGUAUUGUUAGGAGGUUUCAAUGUAUAAUUGAAUAAGAAAAAAAGCUUUAAGAGCACAAAUUACUUGCUAAUACUUAAAAUGUUUUAUAGGUCUCUUUGACGUUAUUUUCAACAAAGGAAAUGUAUGCAUUUUCCAAAGUCAUGAAUUGAGGCACAUUUCUCUGGCUCUUGACAAUGGCUCUGUCACUGGAAUGGCUAGUGGUGGGGCCUCCACUGAGAUGCGGGUGCUGUCUCAGCCCAACCGCUGUGCACUCCUUGAGUCAGCACGGGUUCCCGGCCAUUUGGUUAUUUUUGAUCGCCAUGGCAAAAUAAAUAAUGAAUCAUCAGCAGGCUACGCACACCUUUCAAAAGAGUUUGUGGUUUUUGUCAAGGGUGUGUUGCUCAACAGUGCAGUGGUUCUGCUUGCCACCAGCCUGUGCCAGGCCCUCUGCCUCCAGCCGGAUGGGAGCUGCACGGGCGUAGGAAAGCUGUCUGAAAAGUCCUACUGGAGAGUGCAUAAAAUCAGCUCUGGGAUAUGCAUGUUUGAAAGUGUGAAGAAUGCACGGAUGUUUCUGAGGAUUAAGGACGGACGGUGUGACGGAGCUGGUAUAGGAGACAGUGACUGUCAUUUUAAAAUUAAGAAGAACUUGGAAAAUGCAUGUAUAAGCCUGGAAUCGGUGAAGAGCCCAGGAUUGUUUGUUGGACUUCAGUCAGAUGGACAGGCAAAACCAGUUGUUUAUACUGAGAACGGGAGUGUUUUCUUCUAUCCACAAGUCAUCAAAUUUGGCAGAGAAAACCCAAGUGGUAUGUCUGUAACACCCAGCCAAGAAGAGGAGAAGAUCCUGGAGUCAAGAAACCAGCAAGAAAUGCCAUCAGAACCAGAGGCCAGAGGAGCCUCUUCUUCAACUGCACAUGGUUUCCAUUUAUGUCUCAGGGCAUAAUCCAUGCAGAGAUUGACUUGGUCUUCAAG